rnacentral:rRNA from 1 species
CAAUAGCGUAUAUUAACGUUGUUGCAGUUAAAAAGCUCGUAGUUGGAUUUCUGGUGGGAGCGAUCGGUCUGGCGCUUAGCGCGAGUACUUGCAUCGUCUCCGGCCAUCCUUGGGGAGAGUCUGUCUGGCAUUAGGUUGUCGGGCAGAGGAUCCUCAUCGUUUACUGUGAAAAAAUUAGAGUGUUCAAAGCAGGCUUAUGCCGUUGAAUAUAUUAGCAUGGAAUAAUAAGAUAGGACUUUGGUACUAUUUUGUUGGUUUGCGCACCAAAGUAAUGAUUAAUAGGGACAGUUGGGGGUAUUCGUAUUCCGUUGUCAGAGGUGAAAUUCUUGGAUUUACGGAAGACGAACUACUGCGAAAGCAUUUACCAAGGAUGUUUNCAUUAA